AUUUUCUUAGUAUAAUUCGUACAAAUGGCUUCCAACCAUUUAGUCUCGGCUAAUACCCGAGAGAAAAUA
rnacentral:tRNA from 1 species